rnacentral:rRNA from 1 species
CGGUUUGGUAAAUCUCUUGUGAAAUCGUUAGGCUCAACCUAACGGCGCGCUAGAGACACUGCCAGACUAGAGACCGGGAAGGGUCAGAGGUAUUCCUGAGGGAGCGGUAAAAUGUGAUAAUCUCAGGAGGAUCACCUAUGGCGAAGGCAUCUGACUGGAACGGAUCUGACGGUCAGGGACGAAGGCUAGGAGAGCAAUCCGGAUUAGAUACCCGAGUAGUCCUAGCAGUAAACGCUGCGAGCAAGACGUUGUGCAUCUUACGAGGAUGUGCAGUAUCGAAAGGAAGCUGUUGAGCUCGCCGCCUGGGAA